GGAGAGAGAAUGCCGGCAUGAGUAGCGAGAGCAAAGUGAGAAUCUUUGCCGUCGAAAGCCUAAGGUUUCCUGAGGAAGGCUCGUCCUCUCAGGGUAAGUCGGGACCUAAGCCGAGGACAAUAGUCGUAGGCGAUGGACAAUCGGUUAAUAUUCCGAUACCGCCGAGCAACCGGAUGCAGUGACACAGAAGGAUAGGCAGAGCGUGGCGAUGGUAGACCACGUCCAAGCAGUGAGGCUGUUGUGUAGUGAAGUACGCACAACGGAAGGCUGGGCUGUGAUGGGGAACGAUUACGAUCGGUAAGCUGCUGAAUUCACGCUGGCGAGAAAAGCUGCUACGAAGCGAAGGCGCCCGUACCGCAAACCGACACAGGUAGGCGAGGAGAGAAUCCUAAGACGAGCGGGAGAACCCUUGUUAAGGAACUCGGCAAAAUGACUCCGUAACUUAGGGAGAAGGAGUGCCCAGGAAUGGGCCGCAGAGAAUAGACCCAAGCGACUGUUUACCAAAAACACAGGUCUGUGCGAAGUAGAGAUACGACGUAUACGGGCUGACACCUGCCCAGUGCCGGAAGGUUAAGGGGAAAUGUUAGGGCAACCGAAGCAUGGAACUUAAGCCCCGGUGAACGGCGGCCGUAACUAUAACGGUCCUAAGGUAGCGAAAUUCCUUGUCGGGUAAGUUCCGACCCGCACGAAUGGUGUAACGAUUUGGGUACUGUCUCAACAAGGGACCCGGCGAAAUUGUAGUAUGUGUGAAGAUGCACAUUACCCGCGAUAGGACGGAAAGACCCCGUAGAGCUUUACUGUAGUUUAACAUUGGAUUCCGGUAACAUAUGCACAGGAUAGGUGGGAGGCGGAGAAGCAGUGAUUUCGGUUGCUGCAGAGCCGACGUUGGGAUACCACUCUUGUGUUACUGGGGUUCUAACCUGUGGCCGUGAUCCGGCACAGGAACAGUGUUAGAUGGGCAGUUUGACUGGGGCGGUCGCCUCCAAAAGAGUAACGGAGGCGUCCAAAGGUUCCCUCAGAAUGGUUGGAAACCAUUCGAAGAGUACAAAGGCAGAAGGGAGCCUGACUGCGAGACCGACAGGUCGAGCAGGGACGAAAGUCGGGCUUAGUGAUCCGGCGGUAUAGAGUGGAAUUGCCGUCGCUCAACGGAUAAAAGCUACCUCG
rnacentral:rRNA from 1 species